UUGGAGAUUUGCAUGGUGCCUUGUGUGCCUAGCUGCCCUAAUCCUAGGUGGGAAAAUCGCUCACUCGCGUGACGAUUCCCGCUACCCAAACGAACCCCGGCGCGAAAAGCGUCAAGGAAUACAAAUUCAUUGUGCCCAUUCCUAACCCGAUUAUUCGGUGUUGUGGUUUGGUGCCCAUGUUACUAACAAUAAACGACUCUCGGCAACGGAUAUCUCGGCUCUCGCAUCGAUGAAGAACGUAGCGAAAUGCGAUACUUGGUGUGAAUUGCAGAAUCCCGUGAACCAUCGAGUUUUUGAACGCAAGUUGCGCCCGAAGCCUUGGCUAAGGGCACGUCUGCCUGGGCGUCACGCAUCGCGUCUCCCCUAACCAAUUACAUUGGAAGGGAAGGACGAUGGCUUCCCGUGCCUCACCGGGCGCGGUUGGCCUAAAAUUGGAGCCCACGGUAAUUACUGCCGCGGCGAUAGGUGAUGAACUUGGCUAAGGCCGUGUAAACAACCCGUUGCGGUGUGUUAUUGUGGACUCGUUGGACCCUAUUUGUUUUGCCUUGUGCAAUUCAAACCUUU
rnacentral:rRNA from 1 species